rnacentral:rRNA from 1 species
UACAGAGGGUGCGAGCGUUGUCCGGAAUCACUGGGCGUAAAGCGUGCGCAGGCGGUGAUGUAAGACAGGUGUGAAAUCCCCGGGCUUAACCUGGGAACUGCAUUUGUGACUGCAUCGCUGGAGUGCGGCAGAGGGGGAUGGAAUUCCGCGUGUAGCAGUGAAAUGCGUAGAUAUGCGGAGGAACACCGAUGGCGAAGGCAAUCCCCUGGGCCUGCACUGACGCUCAUGCACGAAAGCGUGGGGAGCAAACAGG